CCCAUCAAGAGCUAGAGACGCAAUGAGCCAUUUCCUCUAGCUUCCAAGUUCCUGUCUCCAUGAGGUGAUGAUGCAUGGUGCGACCUCUUUCCCCAUGACCUCUCUAACACAUGUGAGAGGCCUCGGGGCAGGUCAGCGACACACCAUGGUGGCCGAUCUGGUGUGGCGAGGGGGAACGCAAACUCAGCAGGAGGCUGGAAGCUCCGUCUUGGCACAAGGACUGCUCCAAGGAAGAGGCUCUGAAGGGGCUCCUAAUGACUUCCAUAUUGUUUCCAGUAAGUUUUGUGCUGAUUCUUGGCACAAACACCGGAAAUGAAUAGGCUAGGUCAGGAAUGUAAAUAAAGUGAAACAUUGGGAUUGAAUCUAAUCUAUCAUUAUAGUAUCUGUGGUGGAGGGAAGAGUGUCCGGAGCUGCUCCUGCCCUUACGGAACUGAUCUAUCGACGCGCCAGAAGGGGUUUCAUCCUCUCCCCCAGCUAGUGGCUCCUCCCCAAGCGCUCUGCAAUAAACAUGCGGGGCUGGCCAGCCUGCUCUCCAGCGGCCGAGCAGCAGCCAAGGACUGAACAGACAUGGAGGUGCCUCUUGCCAGACCAGUCUUGGAGGAGUGAGUGAUACCUUCCAACUAUGCAGAGGGCAAAAGAGUUUGCCUUUCAAAAAAGCACGGAUUCAACACAGCAUGUGUGCUGUCACCUGACGGGCUGAAAUCAAUCGCAGCUCCCUACUGAAUUGCUGCAAAUGGGAGUCUACCCAUUUUAGAGACUUCCAAGAAAGAGAUUUUCCCUCAAACACACAAACAAAUGUAACAAAAAUCAAUAUCAACCCAACUUGGGGCCUGGGGUUUUGUUUUAGUUGUGUCUUCAUGGGGUCAGAGUGGAGCGUUAGCCUCCCGUGUCUCUGUCCUGACUAUCUGAGCUUUGGGUCGCAGCUGUAUGGAUGUCUGCAGAAAGCAGUCAUUAGUGUGUUUGUGUUUGUGUUUGUGUGUGCGUGUGUAUGUGUGUAUGUACACACCUAGUGCAUGAGAAUAUCUCUGGUGACUGGCAGGUGCAGGUGUGUACUCAGGUAUGCAUGCACCAGCGUGUGAAUACCGGGCUCUUUCUCUGUGUGUGUGGACCAGUGUACAUGCAUAAAUGCUAGCAUCUCUGCGCAGGUUCUCGCAUGCACGUGGCAUUCUGGGAACCCUGAGAAAUGGAUGCCAAGCCCCGCAGAGCCUUAGGCAGAUACAUGGAGCUGACCAUUCUCCACGUGCCUCUCAAACUCCACCUGUGCUCCCAGAACACCUGCUAUCUCCCCCAGGCCGCCUGCUUUCCAUGCUUGGCUGCAUUCCAAGCCCAUGGAUCAGGCUUUUGGCACGUAAGGCUGCAGCAGUAUUGUAGACAGCAAGCUCUGAGGUCAGCUUCCCCUGGAGGCAGACUGCACAGAGCAGCAGCUCCCCCAGUCCACCCAGACAUCACCCCUUGCCAGUGAACACAUACUCUGCCUGAGAGAGCUGGCAGGGAUGCUGCUGGCUGUGUGCUGAUUGAGGGCCACCUCUGCCCACCUCCACUGCUACGGGACUCAGAGUUGUGCAGCAGAGAGGCGCCUUUGGCGCAAGGAGAGGACAACCCUUUGCCUACAUGCCGCUGGACAUAUGAUAAAGCUUUGUACCUUCAGCUUGAGAAUCCUCCAGCCCUUUAUAAAUACUGGUGAAUUGUCACACCACCGUCUGGGAGGCAGGGAAGGCUCAGACCUCUAUUUUGCAAAUGGGGAAACUGAGUCACAGAGGUGGCGUGGCAGUUCAUACAGGGCACCUAUGACAGAGUUGGACCCAGGACCCAAUUCUCCUGGCUCAAGCUAAAUGCUUUACCCUCAACAUUAGCCUCUCCAGAGACUGGAAGGGCAAAAGAAUUGCUCCUCCCUUUUGACAACCACGCACCCAGUUGCCAAUAGUUCGCAAGUGACUGGAUUUUACUGGAGGCAAAUUAUUAGCCAGCUCUGUUCCAGACUCUUCCAGGCAUCUCCUCAAAACAGCCCAAUUCCCAGUGAUAUUAAUAAUUAUUCUACAGACCUAACUAUAUUUUAAGAAGGAAACACUUACAGUUAUUCAAUGGCAAGUACCAUUUUGAGCCUGCUCCCAGACGCGGCACAGCACCAGAGUUAUGCAAUAAAAGCUCUUCCCUCCUUGGAGGUUGUCAAUGUAUUUAAUGGGGGGCGGGAGGGAGGAAGAGGGAGGAGGAGGAGGUGAAGGGAAAGUAUUAAUCAAGAUCUUAAAAAGUUCUCGUUGACAGUCCAUUUGCCAGCUCUCAAGUUAACUGCCUUUGUGGUCCCAUAAAAAGUUUCAUUACUCACUACAAAAUGUGUUUUAAUUAUUGCAGCCGCUCGGACGCUAAGGCUGGGGUGUUUCUCUCUCCCCUGCAUGCUGACUGAGCCACCCAGGGGGAUGCAGCACAUGGAAAGCACAGGCGUGAGGAAGGUGGUGUUGUGGUUUUAAAGCACCGACAUGGGAACCAGGCCUGUGUGACCUUGGACAAGUCACCGCGUCUUUCUGCACCGCAGUGCCCGCUCAGUAACAAUGGAGACAAUGACACUUCCUUUGCCUCCUUGGAUUGGAAACACUUCAAGGUGGAACGUGUCCCUCCUGGCGUGUUUUCACAGUGCUUAGCACACAGGCCUCAAAGUCAUGCUGCAAUGUUCAUAAUACCACCCCUGGCUGCUCUGCUGGCUAAAGGGGGAAACAGAGAGGGGAGAAUCUGGCAAGGACACAAAAUCACCAGCUGCCUUUAAGAACCACCCCCCAGGAUCAGAUUCCAAUCUCCCUGAUGCUGGUUUCAGACCAGUGUAACUCCAUUGUCUCCAAUGGCGUUGCAGCUGAUUCCUACUGAGGUAAGAGAGAACAGGGUCCUAAUGUGUAUUAGAAAAGGAUUCAACGUGCUGCUGUUGGAAUUACUGCACUACUGCUCUGAAAGGUGGCCUUCUGCUGUUAAAACAGAAACAUGCAUUUUCUUGUGUGUGAAAAGCCACUGAUAGCUCAGAUGAGCCGAGUGGGCAAGGGCAAUAGCACAAGUUUCAAGGUAUUGUUAUCCAGACGCCAGCUCGAUCUCAGACCUGCCACCUUCCGUACCACAGUAAACACGAGCAUGUGUAGAUAGCAAUGUGCACAGCUGCAAAUGAUUCUGAGGCUGCUGUAUCAGCGUGCCUGGCUGCCUGCCAUUUGUCCAUUAGGAACUUUGCUGGUCAGAGAAAGCAGGUUACUUUGCCCUCCCUUCACUGGCUCAGCUCAUGAGAAUGAGGCAGACCACAUCCCAUCAUGCACACGAGAUCGGAAAGGGGGGAUGACAUGCCACUUCCCCAUUGAUGGAAUCGUACCAAACCCCCAAAUCCAAGCAGCAGAAGUAUGUCCAACGUGGACCAGCUGGACCUCAGUUUCAUGGACUGAACCUGUCUCAGCUUCUAACACAUAGUCAAGACACAUGCACCAAACAAACCUAUCUGUGUACCACAGCACUGGCCGCAACGGGGCCCUGCCAGGAUACAUCCCUCCAGGCACUGCUGCAAUAGAGAUGUUAAAGAACAACUACACUGUAUGGCUUCAUCUACUUUGCAUCGUUAUUUCGAAAUAACAAUGUGAGUAUCUACACAGUCAUUCCGUUAUUUUGAAAUAAU